rnacentral:snoRNA from 1 species
AAAGCCACUGCACCUGACCACUAUUGUUGGCUGGUGCAAUCCAGUGGUGAGCUGACAGUUAAGCCCCAGCUUUUAGGAAACAGGGCUGUCCCACAUGUGGACGGCUCUGUGCCGAAAGCAUGGGAACAGUC